GUUGAAGAACGCAGCGAAAUGCGAUAAGUAAUGUGAAUUGCAGAAUUCAGUGAAUCAUCGAAUCUUUGAACGCACCUUGCGCCCUUUGGCCAUUCCGAAGGGCAUGCCUGUUUGAGUAUCAUGAACACCUCAACUCUUUAUGGUUUUCCAUGAUGAGCUUGGACUCUGGGGGUUUUGCUGGCUCACAGUCGGCUCCUCUAAAAUAAAUCAGCUUGCCAGUGUUUGGUGGGUAUCACAGGUGUGAUAACUAUCUACGCUUGUGGUUUUCCACCAGGUAACCUUCAGCAGUGGAGGUUCGCUGGAGCUCACAGAUGUGUCUCUCCUCAGUGAGGACAGCUCUUUGAAUGUUUGAUCUCAAAUCAGGUAGGACUACCCGCUGAACUUAAGCAUAUCAAUAAGCGGAGGA
rnacentral:misc_RNA from 1 species